rnacentral:rRNA from 1 species
CCUACGGGGGGCAGCAGUGGGGAAUAUUGCACAAUGGGGGAAACCCUGAUGCAGCGACGCCGCGUGAGUGAAGAAGUAUUUCGGUAUGUAAAGCUCUGUCAGCAGGGAAGAAAAUGACGGUACCUGACCAAGAAGCACCGGCUAACUACGUGCCAGCAGCCGCGGUAAUACGUAGGGGGCAAGCGUUACUCGGAUUUACUGGGUGUAAAGGGAGCGUAGACGGGAGGGCAAGUCUGGAGUGAAAGGCGGGGGCUCAACCCCCGGACUGCAUUGGAAACUGCCAGGCUAGAGUGCAGGAGAGGUAAGUGGAAUUCCUAGUGUAGCGGUGAAAUGCGUAGAUAUUAGGAGGAAUACCAGUGGCGAAGGCGGCUUACUGGACUGUAACUGACGUUGAUGCUCGAAAGCGUGGGGAGCAAACAGGAUUAGAUACCCUAGUAGUC